GUGAAGGUUUUUCAUUGAGCGUCCCAGCUGAUCAGAUGAGACUGAUUCAUAACAUUAAUACGCUGAUUGCUGAGUUGGCAAUUGAGAAGGAAGAACUGGUGCAAGCACUGUCAUCUGAGUUAUCUCGAAGUGCGCAGGUGCAGGAACUGAACAAAGAGUUAUCCAGAAAACUUGAAGCGCAGACCAAAAGGUUAGAGCUUCUAACAGCGCAGAAGAUGGCCAUAGACAAUGUUUCACCUGAGA